AAACUCAAAGGAAUUGACGGGGGCCCGCACAAACGGCGGAGCAUGCUGAUUAAUUCGAUGCAACGCGAAGAACCUUACCAAGGCUUGACAUGCACCGGACGACUCCAGAGAUGGGGUUUUCUUCGGACUGGUGCACAGGUGGUGCAUGGUUGUCGUCAGCUCGUGUCGUGAGAUGUUGGGUUAAGUCCCGCAACGAGCGCAACCCCCGUUCUAUGUUGCCAGCACGUCAUGGUGGGGACUCAUAGGAGACUGCCGGGGUCAACUCGGAGGAAG
rnacentral:rRNA from 1 species